UACCGCCGGUUGGCCGAAAAACGAACGUGCACCGCGACACGAUUACAGCGUACGCUGCACGUUGCAUCACAAGAGCGUACACCGGUGAAGGUCACGCGCUCCAAAACUCACGGUUACCGAAGUACGAAUACAUCUAGGCUUGAUAUAGCUCGUCAGAGUCCGGUUCGAUAUCGGAAAGCUUAUCUCUACCUACCUAUUCAUAAUUCGAUUAAUAUAUUCUGUACCGCGUAAGUUAUCGAUGACUGAUGACCCACGCUGAAACUUCCAUUUCAUCUCAAUUCGUAUAUUCUAACUGUAGAAAUUACGAAACGCAAUUUACACAUGGCCUGGAUGGCAAAUCACGUAAAAUUAACAGAUACGGACUGUGUUGAAACUAGUUAGAAAAUAUUCGAAAGAGAUAAAUAUGGACUAAAGAAAAAAAAGCCACGGCUUCGAUUCUAUCGGAUAAUCGCGAUAUUGAUAAAAAAAAGUGCCGCGAACGAAAAAACAGAGAUGAAGAUAGGCGUAAUAAUAAAGGUCGCGUUCUGAGAUCCAACGACGGUAAGUACACGCGCGUUCGUUGCCAUGUGCCAAUGACAUGGUACACACGCAUGAGACACACAGGCGCAACCACGAUGAAACUUGCCGGCGCGCGGUGCUCGCGAAGAAGAAAGGAAAAGAACACAGAUGCGUAGAUGUACGCGUAGUCUAGGCAGCAGAGCAGUACUCACCUCUUUCUCUACGUUCAAUAUACUCGGCGGCCUGUAGUAGGGCAGCAAUGCUCAUAUUUCCCCGAUUUGGCGUAAUUUUGGCGACUUCGGUUCACUACCUCUUUCCCUGUAAUCCCGGCACACACACCGAUGAUCACCGCCGCGCGCGCGACACACAACGCAAUAACCGUUUAGAGACGCACACGACGAGCACCAGCCCCG